UCAUUAAAUCAGUUAUCGUAUAUUUGAUAGUACCUACUACAUGGAUAACCGUGGUAAUUCUAGAGCUAAUACAUGCUUAAAAUCCCGACUUCGGAAGGGAUGUAUUUAUUAGAUUAAAAACCAAUGCCCUUCGGGGCUCACUGGUGAUUCAUAAUAACUUCUCGAAUCGCAUGGCCUUGCGCCGGCGAUGGUUCAUUCAAAUUUCUGCCCUAUCAACUUUCGACGGCUGGGUCUUGGCCAGCCGUGGUUACAACGGGUAACGGAGGGUUAGGGCUUGACCCCGGAGAAGGAGCCUGAGAAACGGCUACUACAUCCAAGGAAGGCAGCAGGCGCGCAAAUUACCCAAUCCCGAUACGGGGAGGUAGUGACAAUAAAUACUGAUACAGGGCUCUUUUGGGUCUUGUAAUUGGAAUGAGUACAAUUUAAAUCCCUUAACGAGGAACAAUUGGAGGGCAAGUCUGGUGCCAGCAGCCGCGGUAAUUCCAGCUCCAAUAGCGUAUAUUAAAGUUGUUGCAGUUAAAAAGCUCGUAGUUGAACCUUGGGCCUGGCUGGCCGGUCUGCCUCACCGCAUGCACUGGUCCGGCCGGGCCUUUCCCUCUGGGGAGCCGCAUGCCCUUCACUGGGUGUGUCGGGGAACCAGGACUUUUACUGUGAAAAAAUUAGAGUGUUCAAAGCAGGCCUAUGCUCGAAUACAUUAGCAUGGAAUAAUAGAAUAGGACGUCGCGGUUCUAUUUUGUUGGUUUCUAGGACCGCCGUAAUGAUUAAUAGGGACAGUCGGGGGCAUCAGUAUUCAAUCGUCAGAGGUGAAAUUCUUGGAUCGAUUGAAGACUAACUACUGCGAAAGCAUUUGCCAAGGAUGUUUUCAUUAAUCAGGAACGAAAGUUAGGGGAUCGAAAACGAUCAGAUACCGUUGUAGUCUUAACCAUAAACUAUGCCGACUAGGGAUCGGGCGACGUUAAUUUUUGACUCGCUCGGCACCUUACACGAAAGUAAAG
rnacentral:rRNA from 1 species